rnacentral:rRNA from 1 species
AAUGAACGUUGGCGGCGUGGAUUAGGCAUGCAAGUCGAGGGAGAACCCGCAAGGGGGACACCGGCGAACGGGGUAGGAUCAUCUCGGUGACGUACCCUCCGGACGGGGAUAGCCACGGGAAACUGUGGUAAUACCCGAUGACCUGGCAGGCGAUUAGGGCUUGUCAGCAAAGGUGAGAUUCCACCGGAGGAGCGGCUGAGACGCUAUUAGCUUGUUGGUGAGGUAAUGGCUUACCAAGGCGACGAUGGCUAGGGGGUGUGAGAGCAUGGCCCCCACCACUGGCACUGAGACACUGGCCAGACACCUACGGGUGGCUGCAGUCGAGAAUCUUCGGCAAUGGGCGCAAGCCUGACCGAGCGACGCCGCGUGCGGGAUGAAGGUCUUCGGAUUGUAAACCGCUGUCGGAGGGAUGAAGUGUAUGGGAGCAAUCUCCUGUAUUUGACAGAGCCUCGGAGGAAGCACGGGCUAAGUUCGUGCCAGCAGCC